GAGCCGGCCCAGGUGCUCACAUGCACGCACGCGACCAAGCGCCACGGUGGAAAUCGUGCCUAGUUCAAUUCAAGCAUGGAGGAAUAAGAACACAAGGGAUUGGUGUCUUCGCGAACUUCAGCGGCGGAAAGCAUGGGGAAGAAUCGCCGACGAGUCAUGUACAUGGACAGCCACAGUAUGGUUUCGGCUAUAUCAGGACCAGGCCUGCAUGCAGCGUGUGUGAGUCAUGGCAGGUGGAAUGUAGAACUUGAGAGAAACCAAGGAUGGUGUGAGUGCUUCAGCAUGGAUAGGAUGAACAAGAUCCUGGGAGGGCGUAGUUUGCCUCUACUCUAGCAGCAGAAAAAGGAAACAGCUUCAAGGAUGCAAGGAGGAAGACAGGUGGACCCAGUCAAAAAAAGGGUUGACAAGAAUUGCUGCCAGUUUCUACUGUAUGUUUAUGACUCUACACAUCUCUGCACACAAGUCCCUUAGACUGCAGUGUCCAUGUGCCUCAACGGGUACGUACUCUGAUGCAGCGUUGUUCCUAGCUUAUCCCUAUGGACAAGUUUGGUACAAGUACAGCAGUGCGUCUCGUGUUUUCAAGUCUUACAUCAAGGCAGGUAGGUCAUUUACACUCAGGUAGGUCAUUCCUUUUGAGCUUUCUCUGUGGACUUAGUAGUGUCCUGUGCUUAGCAACAGGACUCCCAGAGUAAGUGAAAAGGGUGUAACUAUAGACAGGGAUAGCAAAGUGAAAAAUGAAGUUUCCCAGUUAUGUCUGCAAGUACAUCAGUUGAAAGAGCUCAGAAAUACGAGAAGUUUGGCAGUAAUUUGAGGAAAAUCAGUUGAGCAGAACAAAAGUUAUGACUAUCUGAAGACGAUUUUGGGGAAAUCUUGUUACCUAGCAACCGCGUAAUUACUAAAAUGAACAAAAUACACUUAUUAACAAUAUCUAAAAAUGUAGAGAUCCAGAUGACCUAGAAACAGUACAUAUCUCAUAUUUGUGAUUCUAUGUGUGACCAGAAGAAGCAAUUUCAUCCCAUGGGGGACGGCCGCAGAGUAAUCGGAACUUUGAAAAUGGUCAAACAAUGACCUGUUGACCCUAGGCCUUUGUUCACGUACUUAAUGUGGUAUUAAUGACUUUUUCAGUUUUCGCUGAUAUUUAGAAUGUUGCCAAAUAAAAGUUGAACUCGGUUGGCUUUCAUUUUUGGACCAGUGGUGUACAACUAUAAGUGGACGAAUUUUUACUUCCUGAAUUUUUGGGCAUCUAUUUAUUGAAUAUCAAGUCAAUUCUAGCUUAGUCAAUUUCGUCGUCCAUUCAUUGUAAUAAUUUAUCAGUGUUCUGCAUGAGGGAUUUUAGCAGGACUGGCCGUCCUGCUAAAUUUUAGACUGCCCCGACUACUUUCUGCUGCCCCAACAAAAUUCUCACCUCCUUGCUAUUUUUUGUUGGAUUUUCCCUAUUCUCCACUGUCUUAACAAUUAAACUGUCCUAAAAAUUUAAAUGCAAAGAAGUUAAAAGCACUUGGACAUGUAAACAUAGUUCCGGAUUUUUUUCUAGAUCCAGAUUAUGUGAAAUUAAACUUCUUUUCUGCUGCUUCCAAGACUACUUCUGUGUUCAUUUUCAAACAAGUUCAGUUAAAGGUGAAAUGUAAGCUAGAUUUCUGUUUUGAACUUUUGACAUUUUUUGAAAGGUUUGUCAAAAAUUGACCAAAAAAUACAGGGUGGUGGGUCAUUCUGUAUGUGUGAUUCCAAACACUUUAUUCUUACAUAACAGUCCUAUAAACAUUUGCAUCUAAUGUACCGGUGUAUAUAAUCAAAACUCUAUGAUUUGGGGAUUAUUAAACUAACAAAGGAACAACCUACACAUCUAGAUCAGGAAAUCUGAAGCCUUUAUAAUUCCCUUCAGGGUCUGGGUAGGUUAUUCUGGUUUUGUUGAUGAUACAGGAUGGUAAUCUUACUCGGUUAUGACAGCCUAGGAAUCCCCAACACCAUCUGACAACCUGGCAGUAGGACACAUGGCGAUAUUUGCUGGAUGAAAGAUGUAAAAAAGGAGCAAAUCUAUGUUUUCAAAAUUAAGGACAAAUUAGAAACAGAAAAUUGAAGCAAUGUGACAUAUCACAGGCCAUUUUACAUGGUAUACAGAAAAUUCCGAUCUUCUUUUUUUAACAUGUGACUUUUUAGAUGCACCCAUAUCUCGGUUUAAUUAAAUGAAGAGCUUCUCUAGAGUCAUUACCUUGCUCUGUCUCCCUCCACUGCCUGUGCGCCAUACUGUUGUCGGAACUGAAAAUAGGCAGUUUCUAAUGUGUC